UGGGGAAUAUUGGACAAUGGGGGGCAACCCUGAUCCAGCCAUGCCGCGUGUGUGAAGAAGGCCUUUUGGUUGUAAAAGCACUUUUAAAGCAGGGAGGAGAGGCUAAUGGUUAAUACCCAUUAGAUUAGACGUUACCUGCAGAAUAAGCACCGGCUAACUCUGUGCCAGCAGCCGCGGUAAUACAGAGGGUGCGAGCGUUAAUCGGAAUUACUGGGCGUAAAGCGAGUGUAGGUGGCUCAUUAAAGUCACAUGUGAAAAUCCCCCGGGCUUAACCUGGGAACUGCAUGUGAUACUGGUGGUGCUAGAAUAUGUGAGAGGGAAGUAGAAUUCCCAGGUGUAGCGGUGAAAUGCGUAGAGAUCUGGAGGAAUACCGAUGGCGAAGGCAGCUUCCUGGCAUAAUAUUGACACUGAGAUUCGAAAGCGUGGUAGCAAAACAGGAUUAGAUACCCUGGUAGUCCACGCCAUAAACGAUGUCUACUAGCCGUUGGGGUCCUUGAGAC
rnacentral:rRNA from 1 species